GGGUGAUAUAACUCAGUAUGCAGGAUUCACAAUCACCUGGAUACUAUGGGAAAUGCAGCCAUUUUAAAGGCAUCCUGUGGUUGUCAGUAAUGUUGUUCCCAUUUCUCCAAAUCCAAUGGUGCUCAGGGUGAUGAAAGUGAAGUAAAAGCCUUCUCCAUAGCUCCAGCCUUCUACAUAACUGAAGACUAAUGGCGGGAACACUAGAAAAAGCAAAGUCCCAGUGGACAAGAAGAUGGCCACUGCCAGUGUUUGAACCACCUGAAAGAUAAACCAAAGAUGGCAGCUAAGCAGCAUGGAGCAGUUGUCUUGUUGAAAUUGCUGGGUCUGUUUUUUCUUGAAUGACAAACCCAAUCCAGCUGGGAGCAGUGGUAAAAAAAGGAAGGA